rnacentral:rRNA from 1 species
GAUGAACGCUGGCGGCGUGCCUAAUACAUGCAAGUCGAGCGAACAGACGAGGAGCUUGCUCCUCUGACGUUAGCGGCGGACGGGUGAGUAACACGUGGAUAACCUACCUAUAAGACUGGGAUAACUUCGGGAAACCGGAGCUAAUACCGGAUAAUAUAUUGAACCGCAUGGUUCAAUAGUGAAAGACGGUUUUGCUGUCACUUAUAGAUGGAUCCGCGCCGCAUUAGCUAGUUGGUAAGGUAACGGCUUACCAAGGCGACGAUGCGUAGCCGACCUGAGAGGGUGAGCGGCCAACAGGGAACUGAGACACGGCCCAGACUCCUAGGGGGGGCAGCAGGAGGGAAUUUUCCGAAAUGGGCGAAAGCCUGACGGGGCAACGCCGGGGGAGGGAUGAAGGUCUUCGGAUCGUAAAACCUUUUUAUUAGGGAAAAAAAAAUGUGUAAGUAACUAUGCACGUCUUGAGGGUACCUAAUCAGAAAGCCACGGCUAACUACGG